ACCAAUCUAAUAAAACAUUUCAGCCUCAUAUUUACAUACUUCAGCAAACACAAAGCACACUCUCAUGUCGUCCAAUCCAAUUCCUCCUCCAUCAUUCAGACCACCAAGAACCGACCCAUUAACCCGAAAAAAUCUCACUAUACCCGGGUCCAAACCCAUUGACCCGAAUUCUUCAAUGGACCUCCAGAAGCUGAAGGAGAAGGAAGCAAAGGAGAGGAAGGAGGAAACAAACAAAAAGAUAGCUUCACAAAAAGCCAUAUCCAUAAUUCUUCGUAGAGAAGCUACAAAAGCAGUUAUUGAGUAUAAGAAAAAGAAAGGGAAUUCUAAGAAGCUUUUGCCUCGUACUGUUCUUGAAGCUCUUCACGAACGUAUUACUGCUUUGCGUUGGGAAUCUGCUCUCAAGGUUUUUGAACUCCUCCAGGAGCAGCUGUGGUACAGGCCCAACCCGGGUAUUUAUAUCAAAUUAAUUGUCAUGCUUGGGAAAUGUAAGCAACCCGAAAAAGCUCAAUCCCUAUUUGAGAUGAUGGUGGAAGAAGGCUGUGUUGUGAAUCAAGAAGCUUACACUGCUCUUUUGUCUGCCUAUAGCCGCAGCGGUCUUUUUCACAAAGCUUUUUCUAUCCUAGAAGAGAUGAAGAAUACUCCAAACUGCCAACCCGAUGUCUACACAUAUACUAUCCUGAUAAAGUCCUGCCUUCAGGUUUAUGACUUCGAUAAAGUGCAAAUCCUGCUUUCGGACAUGGAUUGUAUGGGGAUCAAGCCCAAUACAGUAACAUAUAACACACUCAUCGAUUCUUAUGGCAAAGCAAAAAGGUUCAAAGAGAUGGAAUCCACACUCGUAGAAAUGCUGCGGCGCAGAGACUGCAAGCCAGAUGUGUGGACCAUGAAUUCAACAUUGAGAGCGUUUGGUGGCAGCGGGCAAAUAGAAAUGAUGGAAAAAUGCUACGAGAAGUUUCAGAGUGCUGGAAUCGAACCCAGUAUUAAGACCUUCAACAUACUCUUAGAUUCAUACGGGAAAACAGAAAACUAUGAGAAAAUGAGUGCUGUAAUGGAGUUUAUGCAGAAAUGCCAUUUUUCAUGGACGAUAGUUACUUACAAUAUCGUAAUAGAUGCAUUUGGAAGGGCUGGGGAUUUAAAGCAGAUGGAAUUUCUUUUUAGGAUGAUGCAGUCUGAGAGGAUAAAACCGAACUGUGUUACUCUUUGUUCACUUGUAAGAGCAUAUGGGAAGGCUGGUAAAGCUGAAAAAGUCGGAGCUGUUUUGCGAUUCAUUGAGAAUUCUGACGUGGCGCUUGACACCGUGUUUUUUAACUGCCUAGUGGAUGCGUAUGGGAUGCUGGGAUGCUUUGUGGAGAUGAAAGGGGUUCUUGAGAUGAUGGAAAGAAGUGGAUGUAAGCCAGAUAGGAUAACAUACAGAAGUAUGAUUAAAGCCUAUUCAGUAAAUGGAAUGAGUAGCAAAGCGACGGAGAUGCGAAACCUACUUGCCUCAAUGGAAAAGGCGCGAUAGCUUCAUAGUUCAAAGGGCUAGGAAUUCCGAUGGACAAUAGGUGUUUUUACUAUCAAAUGCCCUUGGUACGAUAAUUUCUGAGAUGCUGUUGUUGUAGCUUCAAAUACAGGUGCCAGAGUUCUCAGUCGCCUCAGCGUUGAACUGAAUACUGUCAGUGAAGGAAAAUGAUUGUCACUAACAGCUUAAUUCGUCAAUGAACACAAUCAGCUGGAACUGGACUGUGGUUGAGAGGAGCAGUCAAUGCAGCUUAGACCACCAACACAGAAUCAGUUUUCCAAGGCCAUGAUUAUGCUAACUUGGGCUUCCAUCAGUCUCUUGAGGCUCAAUUGAAGUAGCAGUCAAACAAUUGUCUUUCUCAAAUGUAAGAAAUAUUCACUAUGACAAACAACAACAAACCGAGUGAGGGGAAGCUAGUGUGUACGCAGCCAAUCUGCCAUCUUGUGAAGGUACAAGCUCUGAACAUGGUGCUGUAUAUUUGAUUUGAGAAGUUGAAAAAUGGAAAUCCUAUUGCUCUUAGCUUGAUGUUUAUGUUAUCCGCAUCUAUUCAAUUUAGCUUGGUUUAAUUUCGUUAGUUAAAUUUGUAAUAACUUUGAACUGUAUUGGACUAUUUAGAUCUCUUUAGUUUGGUUCAAUAGGACCAUCAACUGCAAUUGUGUAGUGUAGUUUUGUAGCAUAAAGAGGAUGAGACUCACGUAGGUUUACAUACAGUGCUGGGAUUAAGCCUUAGCAGUAGCGUUUUGUUUUAGUGUAUAAAUUCAGAUCCAAACGCGAAA